UAUCUGUCAGAGAGGCAAUAAUUUGGUUUCAAAAAGCUGUCUGAUCCUUUUUCUUUUCCUUAGACUCUGCCUUCUGAUAUAAAAUUGCAUAUCAGUGACUUAAAUGGACAAAAAGCAAGUGCCUGUAGCACCCUGACUCAGAGGGUCUCAGCUUUCCGUUUUUCCAUGUGGAUCCUUCUAAAGGUGGGGAGCCACAUACCCCUGAGCAAGGAUUUUAUCCUUUUUCUCAGAGGCCAGAGCAUGGUCAUCCCUCAUGCCCUUUGUCUUAGGCCUGACUCUUGUUCUUUUUUGUUUUGUUGCUUUUCAUGCAGAAAACACACACCUCCUUCCAUGUUAUUUUUCUGUCCCCUCACUCUCCUGUCAAAUGCUGCUUCAUAUGUGUCCAGAGCCUUGCCCUUUUCAAAUUCAGUGUGGAAUUAUAGCUGCUUCAUCUGUGGCCAAUUUUCUCCCAUAUCACAUAAAGCUAGGAGAGGGGAUCAAGUCUAUUGAUACCUCUAUGCAUAGCAUGUCUGAACAAGAGCAAUUAACAUAGAAUCACCCAAAGGCAAUGGCAACUAUUUUAUCCAGAAAAGUACUUCAUCUCCAGACUUCACAUUAGAUGUGGAUGUGUAGACUCCUCUAUUGGGCUGGAAUAGACCUGGUGACCUGCAGACAGCUACUUCUACAGCCCAUUACCUACAUUCCAAGCUACCUAGUCUCAGCACAUUCACUUUCUGC
rnacentral:lncRNA from 1 species